AGCCCGUGAUGUUAGAAAAUAUUUGCUACUCUUGAUGGGAUCACCCAUUUGAUGAUUCUUAUCCACCAAGAUCUCUGAGGCU
rfam:Vigna angularis cultivar Jingnong 6 scaffold180_8, whole genome shotgun sequence.